UACGAAGGGGGCUAGCGUUGUUCGGAAUCACUGGGCGUAAAGCGUAUGUAGGCGGAUCGUUGAAGUCGGGGGUGAAAUCCCGAGGCUCAACCUCGGAACUGCCUUCGAUACUGGCGCGAUCUUCGAGUCCGGGAGAGGUGAGUGGAACUCCGAGUGUAGAGGUGAAAUUCGUAGAUAUUCGGAAGAACACCAGUGGCGAAGG
rnacentral:rRNA from 1 species